UACGUAGGGUGCGAGCGUUGUCCGGAUUUAUUGGGCGUAAAGAGCUCGUAGGCGGCUUGUCGCGUCGGAUGUGAAAGCCCGGGGCUUAACUCCGGGUCUGCAUUCGAUACGGGCAGGCUAGAGUGUGGUAGGGGAGAUCGGAAUUCCUGGUGUAGCGGUGAAAUGCGCAGAUAUCAGGAGGAACACCGGUGGCGAAGGCGGAUCUCUGGGCCAUUACUGACGCUGAGGAGCGAAAGCGUGGGUAUCAAACAGG
rnacentral:rRNA from 1 species